AGAGUUUGAUCCUGGCUCAGAAUCAACGCUGGCGGCGUGCCUAACACAUGCAAGUCGAACGAGAAAGUGGAGCAAUCCAUGAGUAAAGUGGCGUACGGGUGAGUAACACGUGACUAACCUACCCUUGAGUGGGGGAUAACUUCGGGAAACCGAGGCUAAUACCGCAUAAUACCGAGAGGUCAAAGGAGCAAUUCGCUUUAGGAGGGGGUCGCGGCUGAUUAGCUAGUUGGUAGGGUAAUGGCCUACCAAGGCAAUGAUCAGUAUCCGGCCUGAGAGGGCGCACGGACACACUGGAACUGAAACACGGUCCAGACUCCUACGGGAGGCAGCAGUGGGGAAUUUUGCACAAUGGGGGAAACCCUGAUGCAGCAACGCCGCGUGGAGGAUGAAGUCCCUUGGGAUGUAAACUCCUUUCGACCGGGACGAUAAUGACGGUACCGGUGGAAGAAGCCCCGGCUAACUCUGUGCCAGCAGCCGCGGUAAUACAGAGGGGGCAAGCGUUGUUCGGAAUUAUUGGGCGUAAAGGGUGCGUAGGCGGUGCGGUAAGUCUUCUGUGAAAUCUCCGGGCUCAACUCGGAGUCUGCAGGAGAAACUGCCGUGCUUGAGUAUGGGAGAGGUGAGUGGAAUUCCUGGU
rnacentral:rRNA from 1 species